CCUGCCCCCAUCCGGAUGGGGUCCCCCGAUCCUCUGCCACCCCGCCUGCUCCCCUCCCACCCUCCUGCCUGCUCGCAGCCUCCACCCUCACACCCCAAGGACUUCCAGCUGCCUGCAGCGGGCUGUGGGAGGGCAAGCGGGGCGCCCUGCCCGCAGCACCCCCCGUGAGGAUGCUGCUGGACCUGCCCGCGGCGAAAACCCCGCUGGCGGCUCGCAGGGCUGCUUUCCCGCUAGGGGGCUUGCUCUCCCGUGCCACCUCUUUUUUAUUAUUAUUAUUAUUAUUUUUCUUAGGCUCUUCUUUCACUCGUUAAAAAGCGUCGAAGCGGUUUUACGCCGUGCCGCCUCCGCUGCACGCUGCUUGAGCCGAAGCCCUCUGCUCCCUGCCUCCCGAGGAGCCCAACCGCAGCGCUAAUAGGAUUUUGGCUGGCACAGGUGUUGAUGAGCCAGUGUGCUCCUCUCACACCAGCUUUCGUUGACAAGGCUACGCUGGUAAAACUUCCUGAUUUAAGCCAGAGCUGAGAAACAUCAUCAUUUUACCCUCCCGACUGUAGCGAAUGACAACUGGGAGCCUCCUGUGCUCUGCUGCCACGCCGGGGGAGGAUGCGGCUGGGGACAGAGCUGUAAAGAGCUGGUCCAGCAGCAGAACGAAGGAAAUGCUUGUGACCCUGAGAGCCCAUCAGCAGAAAGGCUCGUCUCACCUUGCUGGUGCCUCCUCUGGUGCAGCUGCCAGUGGCAGCUUGCCAAAUGCUCCUUGCAGGAGCACGGGACCGUCGCCGGGGAUGCUUGAAUUCUCCUUACGCCUCACCUGCGCGUGCGAUCCAUAUUAAUUGCUUUCUGGAGUGGUCUGAGGUCCUUGAGCAAAGGAAGGAAGAAACUGCGUCUCUUUUCAACAGCACAGGCCACCGAGGACCUUCUACGUUUACUGGCACAGUAAAAGUCUGCAGCAGCAGAUGAUGCACCCGAUACAGGCAGGGUGCCCGUCCCCCUGCACGUGGCAGUGCGGACAGCAGUGAAGGACACGGCUCUUCCAGCACAGCAGUGAUGGCCAGGAUCAACUAAUAACAUCAUGACUUCUCUUCCUAUGGGUGAAUGCUGCAGAUACCGUCUGGCUGAUCUUCACAGUCAUAUUCCUAAAUCCUUGGGGUCUUGUAAUCGUAGAGAAAGAUUACUUCACCUUGCAGCAGCAGCAGGAAGGGGACUUUCACAGUUAAGCUUUCGUAAGCUUAAAGCUUGUGUUUGAGAAAUAUUGAACAACGUUUGUCCUCAAAAAUAUUCGGGACGAAUAUAGGUGCAAAAGUGCUUGAGUCAGUAAGCGUUGAAACUAUUUGCUGACUUUUACACAAACGUGUUGGCAAUGGGUUUAUCUGCUGCUGUCUCGCUGAGCUCUGAUCUAGCUUCCCCUGUGCUCCCACUGAAAUCUCCAGCUUGCUCCCUGCCCUGCAGCUUCUUUAAUGUAGCUCUGUGCAGCUGAUGUAAGAGUCAAGAGUGUGUGAUGACUGGGAGGUAUCAUGAAAGAAAUUGAAUUUAAUAUCAAAGUAAGCAGCAGGGGGUAGCUGUGUUGAUGUUGUUAUUCUUUUCCAUAUUCCACUAAUUAAGAAGUUCCAUUUUUGAACUUAAAUUGCUGUGAAACCCGUCUUGCAGUGCACAGUGUCAAAAUUUAGCACCUCGAAUUUAAGCUCCAUUUACAUGUGAGGGAACACAAGAGCAUUGCUUAAUUAUGCCUAUUGGAAAUCCUUAUAUUUGAAAAAGCCUUUGGAUGUCAGUGAUGGAAGACACGUAAAAGACAAGGAAAUCAGACUUUUGUAAAUCUCUGGAAUUAGUGUAUCUUUUCAUUCUGCAGUUCUCCUGAAGUUCUCUGUGGUAAUUUUUUCGAUAACGGUAGGGAAAAAAUAUGUCACUCAAAUCUGGACUGUCAAUACCACAACCUAGACCACCACAUGUAUGUGAAAUUUAAAAAUAAGUAUGGCCAAAUUCAGCUUAAGGGUCUUGCAAUGCAAUGGCCUUGAAGACGAGGAGGGCUUGCAGAAAAAGGUGCGAGGUAUUACAAAUGCUGUCAAAGCCCCCACAAUGGACUGCCAGGUCAGUCCCUGGUGUCAUGUUGGGGCACUGUUAAUGUGCUCUCAAAUAAAUUGAAAUGAGCUUGUAGUUAAAAUGAAGCUUUAGAUUUGAGUAGGGACUGACGCUAGUCCAAAUGAUCCCUAUAAAUGGUAAAUGCGAUGCUAGACAGCAUUGAAGUAAGUAACCUACCAUGAAGGAAAUUCAGAAUUAAGAUGCCCUCAAGCCAUGAGGUUGCAUCUCCUUCUUCUCCUUUUCCUUGGCAAUAAAUCAGAAAAUGUGCCAGUGCUGCAGAGCGUGAUUUAGGACUGGCGAUUUUCCCAUUGUUGCUGCAGGCUGAGCACCAUCAGCCCAUGGCUGCUGUGUGCUCGCACCUACAGUAAUCACUGAUUUGGGUGUUGAAGCAAGUCAGCUAUUUAAAUGCUUUCUUGCAAGACAAGUUCCAAGCACCUUGUUUACAUCAGUGCUAAAAUGUGAACAAACCAGUGACUCACUUCUGAACUAAGAUUUCCAUGUUUUGUUUAAGCCUGAAAGAAUUUUGUAUGACUGAAUGCAUUGUUGGAAAGCACAGUUUUACAGUGGUGAAAGUACAUGUUACACUAUCACAAAACUAUUAGGGAUACGUACUCUGUACAUAUGGGCUAUGGGAGGGCUUGAGGGCUCAGGGACAGGAUCCGAGGUGCUCAGGUCCAACUGGUGUUUGCCUCUGCUUGUCCUCCCUUACCCCUGCCACAGGCUUUGCCUCCGAUUUCUCCACAGACAGGGGCAACAAGCUGCCUAUACCUAUAUGGAGCCAGGUGUGUGCAGGGGGCAGCUUUGCUGUGCUCCUUCCUUUCAGGGAGGUACAGAGCACCGUGUUAAAGCCGGGAUUUCAUGCAGAGCAACUCUGCACUUCUCAGCUGUGGCCAACUUCCUCAGUUCCUAAUAGAUGUAGGUUCCCAUAGGUUCACGAUCUACUAGUUAUACAGCUCAUGAACUACACAAGAAUUCAUCUCUGACAUACAGAAGGAGUGACGCACCUCCCUGAUGGCACAGUGAGUCACGGAAAAACAAACAAAGUUUAUCCAGUCACCGUUCUAACUGCUGGUCAUGCAAAUCCCAUCAUAAAACUGAUAUAAAUACAAAUCUUGUGGGUAUAGUUGGUGUUAAUUAGAAUUUGGGAAGCCUUACAUAUUUAAUCAGAUUAAAAACCUUGACAUGAAUGCUGUCUUGUAUUCAGCUAUGAAAUUUCAUCUUGGUGCACUGAAACUGAAAAUACUAAUUUUCCAAGUGCCUUCCACUAUAUUCAGAUAGACUUCCUGCAUGAUUACUGCAAACCUCACCUGCAUGUCAUGGUUAACUAGCUGCAGUCAUGAUGCUCUAUAUGCCACUUUCCUAAUUUGAAACCACACCAAAAAUUCAAAGCUGGGAAUUCCAGAUAUGAAGUGUGCAUUUUUUUUAAAAGGUGAAUACUUUGACACACCUUCAAGACUUGGCACAGUCCUGAAACAUUUCCAAAGUGAUAUUAGCUUAGUAAUAAAUAAAGAAAAAAAAAUUAAAUGUGAAUCCUCUUUGAGUGAUUUUACUGAAAUGGGACUUGGAAUCUGAAAUUUCUAACAAUUCCCAAUUAGCAUAAUAAUCUAUGUGUUUAUCUUUAAUUCGCAAAAUUAGUUUAUUUAUAAGAUUCAUGUUUUGGUAGGACAGUUCAUGCAGGAAAGAAGGAGAAGACCUGGCUUUUGGUCCUUGCUUUAGAGUUUUGCCAGCAGUGAAAGGCUGCAGCAGGUGUAGAGGAUAAGCAGUGGAAGCAGAAACAGCAUAAGGAUGGACCUGACGAUGCUGCACAGGAAGAAAAAGGCCAAAGCACAGGUGAAUGGAGGUAAAACUUGGAGGAGCACAUCUGAUUUCGAGUAGAAACAUAGUUAUAGUAGAAACAUAGUUAUAUAGUAGAAACAUAGUUAUAGAGCAUCAGCGACUCUACAAGAGCUUUUAGGUUGGAACUAUGGUACUUGUGGCCUAGGGUACUUUCUAACAUGUUUUGACACUUUCUGAUUCCCCCCUGGUUUUAUGUCUAUGACAAAAGCCUGAAGGAAUUAAUCAGUACCUGUUUACCACCCUCCAUUUAGUUCAUAGGUAUUUCAGUCAACAGGUAACCCAGCUGGAUGCCAGGCUUGCAGUACUUUCCUUUGCGUGCUUAAAAGAAGGACCAAUCAGAGUGAACUCAAAAAAGGAGAAGAAAUACAUUUCUUUCUUUGUUACCUUGAAAUUCUUUAAGUUUUAAUAAGGGCUUUGUGUCACACAAGCUUCUUCUGUUCAAUGAUUCAGUGUUGGUUUAAUCCUGAGCAUAUAAUGUGUGCCAGUCUGUUGUUAUAGAAGUGUCUGUGAUGUGAUUUCUUUGCAGGACCGAGGCAGAAGAGCCAAGGAGAGAUCACGCUCUUGGUCGGGUGUAAAGAACCCUAGUGGCACAGGCAGCAAAAGGGGGUCCUUUCAGUGAAUUUCUUUACUAUAAAAUGCCUGUAAGGUUAAAUUAUUUUGUUUAAUUUCCCUGCAGUUGUUAACUUUCAGAUAGUCUGCAUGCAUGCAGAUUGUUUAAAAAACAGACACGUAGCGUGCUGGCCACUGUUCUUCUCGCACAGACUCCCACGGGACAUGUUAACCAUAAGCCUCGCUGCCAGACCCUCCGGCACAGAUCUGAGCAAACAGAUGGGCCUUACAUCGUGCCCUGAAAGUCAGCGGACUUUGGCUCUGCUAGGCCACUGGGAGAAGUAAAUUCCUGAGCUGAGCAUGUUUCACAAGGAAAGCAGAGCUUACACUCUCCAGAUGUGCAGAUUCAGGGUGUGCCGGCGAGAGUGCUCUGGCUGCUCUCAGCUGUCAAGAUAGCGCUCGGAAGAGGAGAGGAGGAAAUUCCUCGGGCAGCCCCAGUCCCAACCACACAGCUUCACUGGUCCAAAGGGGUCGUUGCAAAUCCACAGCCCCAGGAUCGGUGCAGGAAGCAAAGAUUGGAAACAAACAGAGCAUGCAGACAGUGUUUAUUUAACACGGGACGCUGCUCUUGAUAACGCAGUUCAUGCAUGAUAUUCUAGUGCAACUUUUUUCUAAAUGGUCCAAAGUUUUCCUGCACUACAUACCUAUUCUUUGUUA